AGAGUUUGAUCCUGGCUCAGGAUGAACGCUGGCGGCGUGCCUAAUACAUGCAAGUCGAACGCUUUGUGGUCCAACUGAUUUGAAGAGCUUGCUCAGAUAUGACGAUGGACAUUGCAAAGAGUGGCGAACGGGUGAGUAACACGUGGGAAACCUACCUCUUAGCAGGGGAUAACACUUGGAAACAAGUGCUAAUACCGUAUAACACUAAUAACCGCAUGGUUAUUAGUUAAAAGAUGGUCUUGCUAUCACUAAGAGAUGGUCCCGCGGUGUAUUAGCUAGUUGGUAAGGUAAUGGCUUACCAAGGCAAUGAUACAUAGCCGAGUUGAGAGACUGAUCGGCCACAAUGGGACUGAGACACGGCCCAUACUCCUACGGGAGGCAGCAGUAGGGAAUCUUCCACAAUGGACGAAAGUCUGAUGGAGCAACGCCGCGUGUGUGAUGAAGGGUUUCGGCUCGUAAAACACUGUUGUAAGAGAAGAAUGACAUUGAGAGUAACUGUUCAGUGUGUGACGGUAUCUUACCAGAAAGGAACGGCUAAAUACGUGCCAGCAGCCGCGGUAAU
rnacentral:rRNA from 1 species